AACGAACGCUGGCGGUAUGCUUAACACAUGCAAGUCGAACGGGUCUAUUUGGGGUAACUCGAAUAGAUUAGUGGCAAACGGGUGAGUAAUACAUAGGAAUCUGCCCAGCAGUAAGGAAUAACCUUGGGAAACCAAGGCUAAUACCAUAUCUUACCGUCUACUUAACUGUAGUCGGGAAAGAUUUAUCGCUGUUGGAUGAGCCUAUGACGAAUUAGCUUGUUGGUAGGGUAAAGGCCUACCAAGGGGAUGAUUCGUAGCUGGUCUGAGAGGAUGAUCCGCCACACUGGGACUGAGAAACGGCCCAGACUCCUACGGGAGGCAGCAGUGGGGAAUAUUGGACAAUGGGGGGAACCCUGAUCCAGCCAUGCCGCGUGUGUGAAGAAGGCCUUAUGGUUGUAAAGCACUUUAGGCGAGGAGGAGGCUACUUUAGUUAAUACCUAGAGAUAGUGGACGUUACUCGCAGAAUAAGCACCGGCUAACUCUGUGCCAGCCGCCGCAGUAA
rnacentral:rRNA from 1 species